UCACGGUAGCAGUAGGGGCUUAUUCGAGGGGGGGGGCUUAUUGAAAAUUUGUAGUUCUAGGGUGGGGGCUUAUUCGAGAGGGAGGCUUUUUCGAGGGGGGGGGGGCAAUUCGAAGAUUUACGGUAUGUUGCUUUCUUUUGUAGCAACUAUAAGCAGUCUAAGAAAUGAAAUAUGCAUUUUGAAAUAUCAUUCCAUUAUCUUUGGCCAGGAGCUUCAGAGUAUAAAAAGGGACGUUGAUUGAUGGGCACUUCAGGUGGGGGCUUAUUCGAGGGGGCCGUUUUCAUAAACAUUCACUUAGUAAGCAAUUUCCAAAAAUGUCCAUUUCAUGCAUAUUUUUAGGAUCAAUGAAGACACUUGUACAAUAUCGCAUAUUUUCUCAAAUCGGGACAGUGUGAACGGGCCUAAAUUUUGAUUCAAUGAUUAUUCUAAUUAAUUGAAAAUAUGACCUGAUGUUUAUUUGAAAACCAGCUUUUAUACAAAUCAAAUAACGCUUGCCGUGGGAGAAAGUUGUGUAAAGCAGCCGACCUCCCGCGGGAGCAUGAGUGCUGUUGGGAAUCCCAAGACACCUUUUGCCCGUGCGGCUUUUAUUCUAGGCACGAAGAAGCAUUCCCUGGUGAAAAUACAAGGUAUAAAUACAUUCCCUCUCAAGUUGCUCGUCCUUUGCUGGUCAAGAUUUAAGUGAGACACCACCUCCGUGAAACACCUACUGCAAAAUUAGGCCCAUUUGAAAUUUCAAUACGGGAUGCAUGAAGAAAAUCGAGAAAUAGUUGAAACACCAAGGCCAGUAAAACAGACAGUGCAUGCAAAAGACGAAAGAUGUUCUAACAAAAUUAGCAUCACCAAUCCUUCUUUUGGUACAAGCCAAUAUGACUGUUGCCGUUUAACAUUUUUGUGAUAAGGUAUGAUCUUUUACCAAUUUUAAAUUGAAAAAUCUAAAUCUAGAAGAAUCUAGUUUUUAAUGAAAAUAUGAUUGACUGUAUAAGGCUAUUGAAAGUUUGGAGCUAACUAGAAGAAA